rnacentral:rRNA from 1 species
UACAGAGGGUGCGAGCGUUAAUCGGAAUUACUGGGCGUAAAGCGUGCGUAGACGGUUAUGUAAGUCAGAUGUGAAAGCCCCGAGCUUAACUUGGGAAUUGCGCUUGUGACUGGCGUGCUGGAGUGUGGCAGAGGGAGGUGGAAUUCCACGUGUAGCAGUGAAAUGCGUAGAGAUGUGGAGGAACACCGAUGGCGAAGGCAGCCUCCUGGGCCAGCACUGACGCUCAUGCACGAAAGCGUGGGGAGCAAACAGG